rnacentral:misc_RNA from 1 species
GAUGAAGAACGUAGCGAAAUGCGAUAAGUAAUGUGAAUUGCAGAAUUCAGUGAAUCAUCGAAUCUUUGAACGCACCUUGCGCCCUUUGGCUAUUCCGAAGGGCAUGCCUGUUUGAGUAUCAUGAACACCUCAACUCUCAUGGUUUGCCAUGAUGAGCUUGGACUCUGGGGGUCUUGCUGGCCUAUGGUCAGCUCCUCUCAAAUAAAUCAGCUUGCCAGUGUUUGGUGACAUCACAGGUGUGAUAACUAUCUACGCUUGUGGUUUUCCAUCAGGUAACCUUCAGUGAUGGAGGUUCGCUGGAGCUCAUAAAUGUCCCUCCUCAGCGAGGACAGCUUUUUGAACGUUUGAUCUCAAAUCAGGUAGGACUACCCGCUGAACUUAAGCAUAUCAAUAAGCGGAGGA